CCUACGGGGGGCUGCAGUGGGGAAUAUUGCACAAUGGGCGCAAGGCUGAUGCAGCCAUGCCGCGUGUGUGAAGAAGGCCUUCGGGUUGUAAAGCACUUUCAGCGGGGGGGAAGGCGGUGAGGUUAAUAACCUCAUCGAUUGACGUUACCCGCAGAAGAAGCACCGGCUAACUCCGUGCCAGCAGCCGCGGUAAUACGGAGGGUGCAAGCGUUAAUCGGAAUUACUGGGCGUAAAGCGCACGCAGGCGGUCUGUCAAGUCGGAUGUGAAAUCCCCGGGCUCAACCUGGGAACUGCAUUCGAAACUGGGAGGCUAGAGUCUUGUAGAGGGGGGUAGAAUUCCAGGUGUAGCGGUGAAAUGCGUAGAGAUCUGGAGGAAUACCGGUGGCGAAGGCGGCCCCCUGGACAAAGACUGACGCUCAGGUGCGAAAGCGUGGGGAGCAAACAGGAUUAGAUACCCGAGUAGUC
rnacentral:rRNA from 1 species